UGCUGUGGCUGCUUGUGGGAAGAUCAUUGUUGGGAAUGGAACAUCAGUAGAACUGACCUGUCCUGUGGAUCCCACUGUGUUCUAUCUGGGAGCAGCUUUGGGAAUCUGUGUGAUUGUGAUCUGUGUUCAAGCCAUUCGAAACUGCAGCGGGAGAGAUCAUGAUUCGGUGGUGGAGAACAAAUCCAGUC